rnacentral:lncRNA from 1 species
UUAGGGUUUAGAGUUAAAGGGUGGGGUUUAGGAUUUAGGAUUUAGGGUUUAGUGUUUAGAGUUUAGGGUUUACAGUUUAGAGUUUAGGGUUUAGGGUUUAGGGUUUAGGGUUUAGAGUUUAGGGUUUAGGGUUUAGGGUUUAGAGUUGAGAAAUGAAGUUUUGGGGAUAAGAUUUCAAAUUUUGAAAAAUAAAAAAAAUUAAAAUU